GAUGAACGCUCGCGGCAGGCCUAAUACAUGCAAGUCGGACGGGAUUCAGGAGCUUGCUUCUGAUGAGAGUGGCGCACGGGUGCGUAACACGUAUGUAACCUACCUUUAUCAGGGGGAUAGCCUCUCGAAAGAGAGAUUAAGCCCGCAUAAAAUCACAGCACAGCAUUGUGUAAUGAUCAAAUAUUUAUAGGAUAAAGAUGGGCAUGCGGAACAUUAGCUAGAUGGCGGGGUAACGGCCCACCAUGGCGACGAUGUUUAGGGGAUCUGAGAGGAUGGCCCCCCACACUGGUACUGAGACACGGACCAGACUCCUACGGGAGGCAGCAGUAAGGAAUAUUGGUCAAUGGGCGGAAGCCUGAACCAGCCAUGCCGCGUGCAGGAAGACGGCCCUACGGGUUGCAAACUGCUUUUAGACGGGAAUAAACCCAGAUACGUGUAUCUGGCUGAAUGUACUGUAAGAAUAAGGAUCGGCUAACUCCGUG
rnacentral:rRNA from 1 species